AAUAAAGAGAAUAAUGCAUUUUUAUAACUCAAGAUUGUUCUCAGCUAUAGAAUAGCCUCCUAACCAGUUCCACAUUAUGCAUAAAAGUUGAAGCACUAAUAAACAAGAGAGAUUGAUCAAAAGAUAGCAAUGAUUUUUACUAUCCCAACACAAAUAGUAGAAUUUUCAAAUUCAAAUUGCAAUUCCAAUAAAAUGGAGGGGUCUAAAAUAGCUCAAAGCUUUGACGGCUUUGGGAAGAUGUCAGGAGUGAAUUUUUGCGCUGCACUCAGGCUGCCCUUAAUCUUCAAAGUGCCCCUCAUGAAAGCUAUCUGGGGAUUCAAUUUUCCCUCAGCAAGCUUGACAAAAUCUUCAUCCUUGAGGGAAAAUGUGGCAUCGGGCUUGCCUCCUUCAUAUGGGCCUUUAUUAACCUCUCCUUUCUUGAGAUUAACAGUAUAUGAAACCUCAUCUAUCCCAAUUUUCUUGGGGGCGAUAUUGAACUGAUAGACGAGGUUGAUCUUCUUUCUAAGUUCAAUACCCUCGUCGGUCUCGAGGAAUCGCUUGAGGAGGUCAAAUACGGAUUCAGACUUGAGCUCCGUAGCCAUUGAUCCUAACAAGAUUGUAAAUUCUAGUGUUACAAGGAAGAUUGGAGCAUUUGAAUUUGAUAUGGAGGUCAGGUGAGGGUAUUAAAAAGAAGGGAGUUGCGAAUUUGGAAUGGAGGUUUAGGUGACGACAUUGAUUGCUGAUGGGUAGAUUAGGUGAUGC
rnacentral:misc_RNA from 1 species